GACGAACGCUGGCGGCGUGCUUAACACAUGCAAGUCGAACGGAAAGGCCCUGCUUUUGUGGGGUGACCGAGUGGCGAACGGGUGAGUAACACGUGAGUAACCUGCCCUUGACUUUGGGAUAACUUCAGGAAACUGGGGCUACUACCGUAUAGGAGCUCCUGCUGCAUGGUGGGGGUUGGAAAGUUGCGGCGGUUGGGGAUGAAUGGGGGGCUGACGGCCUUGUUGGUGGGGGAGGGGCUUACCAAGGCUUGGACGGGUAGCCGGCAGGGGAGGGUGGCCGGCGACAUUGGGCCUGAGAUACGGCCCAGACUCCUACGGGAGGCAGCAGUGGGGAAUAUUGCACAAUGGGCGGAAGCCUGAUGCAGCAACGCCGCGUGCGGGAUGACGGCCUGCGGGUUGUAAACCGCUUUCGCCUGUGACGAAGCGUGAGUGACGGUAAUGGGUAAAGAAGCACCGGCUAACUACGUG
rnacentral:rRNA from 1 species